AUUGAACGCUGGCGGCAGGCUUAACACAUGCAAGUCGAGCGGGGAAAGGUAGCUUGCUACCUGACCUAGCGGCGGACGGGUGAGUAAUGCUUAGGAAUCUGCCUAUUAGUGGGGGACAACAUUCCGAAAGGAAUGCUAAUACCGCAUACGCCCUACGGGGGAAAGCAGGGGAUCUUCGGACCUUGCGCUAAUAGAUGAGCCUAGGUCGGAUUAGCUAGUUGGUGGGGUAAAGGCCUACCAAGGCGACGAUCUGUAGCGGGUCUGAGAGGAUGAUCCGCCACACUGGGACUGAGACACGGCCCAGACUCCGGCGGGAGGCAGCAGUGGGGAAUAUUGGACAAUGGGCGGAAGCCUGAUCCAGCCAUGCCGCGUGUGUGAAGAAGGCCUUUUGGUUGUAAAGCACUUUAAGCGAGGAGGAGGCUCCUUUAGUUAAUACCUAAAGUGAGUGGACGUUGCUCGCAGAAUAAGCACCGGCUAACUCUGUGCCAGCCGCCGCAGUAA
rnacentral:rRNA from 1 species